rnacentral:rRNA from 1 species
AUUGAACGCUGGCGGCAGGCCUAACACAUGCAAGUCGAACGAGCGGCGGACGGGUGAGUAAUGUCUGGGAAACUGCCUGAUGGAGGGGGAUAACUACUGGAAACGGUAGCUAAUACCGCAUACCAUCAGAUCUGCCCAGAUGGGAUUAGCUAGUAGGUGGGGUAAAGGCUCACCUAGGCGACGAUCCCUAGCUGGUCUGAGAGGAUGACCAGCAAGACUGGAACUGAGACACGGGCCAGACUCCUACGGGAGGCAGCAGUGGGGAAUAUUGGACAAUGGGCGAAAGACUGAUACAGCCAUGCCGCGUGUAUGAAGAAGGCCUUCGGGUUGUAAAGUACUUUCAGCGGGGAGGCGGUACCCGCAGAAGAAGCACCGGCUAACUCCGUGCCAGCAGCCGCGGUAAUUC